rnacentral:rRNA from 1 species
AAACAUGUCUUAAUGAAUAAUAUUAAUAUUAAGUCUGGCCUGCUCAAUGAUUUUAGUUUAAAUGGCCGCAGUAUACUGACUGUGCGAAGGUAGCAUAAUCAUUUGUCUUUUAAUUGAAGGCUUGUAUGAAUGGUUUGAUGAGGGAAUAACUUUCUUUAUAUUAUAAAUUGAAUUUAAUUUUUUAGUUAAAAAGCUAAAAUUUUUAAAUGGGACGAGAAGACCCUAUAGAAUUUUAUUUUCUUUUUAAAAAUAAUGGUUUGGUUAUAUUUUUUGUUUUUAUUUAUGGAAAAUUUUGUUGGGGUGACAUUGAGAUUUAUUUAACUCUCAUAAUUAGAUUUUUAAUAAUUAUUAUUUUUAUGAUCCUAUUUUAUGGAUAUAUAGAUUAAAUUACCUUAGGGAUAACAGCGUAAUUUUUCUGGAGAGUUCUUAUCGAUAGAGAAGUUUGCGACCUCGAUGUUGGAUUAAAAUUAGAUUUAAGUGCAGCAGCUUAA